rnacentral:rRNA from 1 species
UAUUUAACGCUGGCNGCAGGCNCUAACACAUGCAAGCUCGAGCCGGNAAACGAGAAGUAGCUUGCUACUUCGGCGUCGAGCGGCGGACGGGUGAGUAAUGCCUAGGAAGUUGCCCAGUAGAGGGGGAUAACCAUUGGAAACGAUGGCUAAUACCGCAUAAUCUCUUUGGAGCAAAGCAGGGGACCUUCGGGCCUUGUGCUAUUGGAUACGCCUAGGUGGGAUUAGCUAGUUGGUGAGGUAAUGGCUCACCAAGGCGACGAUCCCUAGCUGGUCUGAGAGGAUGAUCAGCCACACUGGAACUGAGACACGGUCCAGACUCCUACGGGAGGCAGCAGUGGGGAAUAUUGCACAAUGGGCGAAAGCCUGAUGCAGCCAUGCCGCGUGUAUGAAGAAGGCCUUCGGGUUGUAAAGUACUUUCAGUCGUGAGGAAGGGGGUAAGCUUAAUACGCUUAUCUCUUGACGUUAGCGACAGAAGAAGCACCGGCUANCUCCGUGCCAGCAGCCGNNGGUAAUA